CCACAAGCGGUGGAGUAUGUGGUUUAAUUCGAUGCAACGCGAAGAACCUUACCUGGUCUUGACAUCCCGGAGACCCUUAGGAAACUAGGGGGUGCUUCCAUCUGGAAGAAUCUGGAGACAGGUGCUGCAUGGCUGUCGUCAGCUCGUGUCGUGAGAUGUUGGGUUAAGUCCCGCAACGAGCGCAACCCUUGCCUUUAGUUGCCAGCAGUUCGGCUGGGCACUCUAAAGGGACUGCCGGUGUUAAACCGGAGGAAGGUGGGGAUGACGUCAAGUCCUCAUGGCCUUUAUGACCAGGGCUACACACGUACUACAAUGGCCGAUACAAAGGGCAGCGACACUGCGAGGUGAAGCCAAUCCCGUAAAAUCGGUCUCAGUCCGGAUUGGAGUCUGCAACUCGACUCCAUGAAGUUGGAAUCGCUAGUAAUCGUGGAUCAGCAUGCCACGGUGAAUACGUUCCCGGGCCUU
rnacentral:rRNA from 1 species